rnacentral:rRNA from 1 species
AUGCAGCUGCAGCUCUCCACGCUAGUGGUUCUUCGACUAGAGAUAGCACAAGAACGUCGACCGCUUACACAGAGUGAGUUUCAUCUUCGAAAACUUCUGAAGCUGCGUAUUCUUGGAUUGGCAGUAGUGGAAAGAGCCCGGAAACGCCAGGAAUCCAGGAUAACAUGGCUACGGGCAGGAGACGCCCAAACAGCCUUCUUUCAAGCCAAGAUCAAUGCCAGGCGCAGGAAAAACUUCAUCCACUCGCUGCAUGGAUCGCGGGGUAUUGCCACCACCCAUGAUGAGAAAGAGGAAAUCGUCCAUAGCCAUUUCACUGCAUCGCUAGGAACUAGGCAGAACCGACCACAUACUAUCGACUGGAGCUACAUCGACAUGCCUAGGGUACAAGGUGGUGGCCUAGACAAUCCGUUCACUGAGCAUGAAGUGUGGCAGGCGAUCAAGCAACCACCGGCCGAGAAAUCACCAGGCCCAGAUGGUUUCUGA